ACGGGACACCUGCAUCUGCCAACAAGACUGGAAGCAGGUGAGGCACACAGAGGGGGAGGCCCGCAGCUGCGUGGGAGGAGGGGUGGUCUGAGGGACGUGGGAUGCCGGGAAUGAGGCUGGUUUGCAGGUUGGCGCAUGGACAUUUUCCCAGAAAGGGACAGAGACGGCGAAGUUUGACGGUCUGGAAAGCAGAGACCAGCAGGGCUGACUGCUUGGGAGCACGAGGGACAGCUCUCCACCGACCGAAGGAGGAGAAUGCUAUUUAUUUCAGCACCAAAUAUCCGGACAGCGCCUCUCGGGAGGUCCGAGAAGAGAACCGCGAUCUGUUUCAGCACCGGGGCUCAGGACAGUUCCCAGCGGGCUCCGUUUCGUCUCCAGAACCCUGGACAGCUCCUCCAGCUUGGAAUGCACUCCCUCCACCUCCAACCAGAGCUCCCCACAACUGACCCUGCCUUCUUCUGCAAGCUCCAUUUCAUCAAGGGAAACGAUCCUUAUUGCCUCACCAUUUCCCACGUGAAGUCUGUAUUGACAUUCUCAUAGACCUGGGAUAUUGUGUCUGCAGCACAUAGUCCAAUUAUUUUCAUGUUAUCUACUGACAGGUCUAUUUGUCUCCCUGUUACACUGUGAGCUCCGUGAGGGCAGAAACAAUGUUAGUAUUUUCACUGCUGUGUCCCCAGCGCCUGGUCCGGGGCCCGGCACACAGCAGGCAUAUAAUAAGCAUGUGUUGAAUCAAUAAAGGCAUCAAAGAAUAAACCAAUACAUCAAUCAAUAAA
rnacentral:lncRNA from 1 species